UACGUAGGGAGCAAGCGUUGUCCGGAAUCAUUGGGCGUAAAGCGCGCGUAGGUGGCCCUGUAAGUCCGUUGUGAAAGUCAAAGGCUCAACCUUUGAAAGCCGAUGGAUACUGCAGGGCUAGAGUACGGAAGAGGCGAGUGGAAUUCCUGGUGUAGCGGUGAAAUGCGUAGAUAUCGGGAGGAACACCUGUGGCGAAGGCGGCCCCCUGGUCGGAUACUGACGCUGAGACGCGAAAGCGUGGGGAGCAAACAGG
rnacentral:rRNA from 1 species